rnacentral:tRNA from 1 species
AGAGAUAUAGCUGAGUGGCACAGCACUUGCCUAGUAUGUUCAAGGCCCAUGUUCAAGGUACUGGGUUCAAACCCCAGUAUCACAA